UACAGAGGGGGCAAGCGUUGUCCGGAAUUAUUGGGCGUAAAGAGCUCGUAGGCGGUGUGUCGCGUCGGCCGUGAAAACCUGCAGCUUAACUGUGGGCUUGCGGUCGAUACGGGCAUCACUGGAGUUCGGCAGGGGAGACUGGAAUUCCUGGUGUAGCGGUGGAAUGCGCAGAUAUCAGGAGGAACACCGGUGGCGAAGGCGGGCCUCUGGGCUGUGAACUGACGCUGAGGAGCGAAAGCGUGGGUAGCGAACAGG
rnacentral:rRNA from 1 species